UUUAGUGGCACGGUCUAGACCCGAAGCGGGGUGAUCUACCCAUGGCCAGGUUGAAGCGUGUGUAAGAGCACGUGGAGGACCGAACCCACCUAGGUUGAAAACUGGGGGGAUGAGCUGUGGGUAGGGGUGAAAGGCCAAUCAAACUCCGUGAUAGCUGGUUCUCCCCGAAAUGCAUUUAGGUGCAGCGUUACGUGUUUCUUUACCGUGGUAGAGCUACUGGAUGGCUGAUGGGCCCUACAAGGUUACUGACGUCAACCAAACUCCGAAUGCGGUGAAGUGAGAGCGUAGCAGUGAGACUGUGAGGGAUAAGCUUCAUGAGUCGAGAGGGAAACAGCCCAGAACAUCAGCUAAGGCCCCUAAGCGUGUGCUAAGUGGGAAAGGAUGUGGAGUUGCUGAGACAACCAGGAGGUUGGCUUAGAAGCAGCCACCCUUGAAAGAGUGCGUAAUAGCUCACUGGUCAAGUGAUUCCGCGCCGACAAUGUAGCGGGGCUCAAGUACACCGCCGAAGCUGUGUCACUCCACAUAUUGUGGGGUGGGUAGGGGAGCGUCGGGCAUGCGGUGAAGCCUGGGUGGAAACCAUCAGGUGGAGCGUGUUCGAGUGAGAAUGCAGGCAUGAGUAGCGAAUGGCGGGUGAGAAACCCGUCCGCCGAAUGAUCAAGGGUUCCAGGGUCAAGUUUUUCUUCCCUGGGUGAGUCGGGACCUAAGGCGAGGCCGACAGGCGUAGUCGAUGGACAACGGGUUGAUAUUCCCGUACCGGCGAAGAACCGCCCAUAUCGAAGCGAUGAUGCUAACCACCCCAACCACGCUUGAUGACCCACUUAGUGGGUCACUGGUGUGUGCGGCGUGGGACCCGAUUUGUGGAGGUAAACGUGUUAACAGGUGUGACGCAGAGAGGUAGCCGGGCCAGGCAAUGGAAUCGACCUGGUCUAAGAGUGUAGGCCGGUGUAUAGGCAAAUCCGUACACCAUCCGGCUGAGACUUGAUGGGCGCCCACAUAUUGGUGGGUGAUCCGGUGAUCCUGUACUGCCAAGAAAAACAUCGACGUGAGGUUCUAGCUGCCCGUACCCGAAACCGACACAGGUGAUCUGGUAGAGAAUACCGAGGCGAACGAGAGAAUCAUGGUUAAGGAACUCGGCAAAAUGCCCCCGUAACUUCGGAAGAAGGGGGGCCUGCCCCGUGACCCC
rnacentral:rRNA from 1 species